AAUAAGAGCUCUUUUAAGAGCCACACAAAAAGACACACACAAGAAG
rnacentral:sRNA from 1 species